GAGAGCAUAGUACGAUGAAAGUUGUAAGCUAUGUUUGGGGGGAAGUUAUUGUCUAUCGUUGGACUCUAUGGUAGAAUCAGUCCGGGGAACUGAGAUACGGUGGUUUACCCUAC
rnacentral:ncRNA from 1 species